UACGAAGGGGGCUAGCGUUGCUCGGAAUUACUGGGCGUAAAGGGCGCGUAGGCGGACAGUUUAGUCAGAGGUGAAAGCCCAGGGCUCAACCUUGGAAUUGCCUUUGAUACUGGCUGUCUUGAUGUUCGGGAGAGGUGAGUGGAACUCCGAGUGUAGAGGUGAAAUUCGUAGAUAUUCGGAAGAACACCAGUGGCGAAGGCGACUCACUGGCCCGAUACUGACGCUGAGGCGCGAAAGCGUGGGGAGCAAACAGG
rnacentral:rRNA from 1 species